CGAGGACUAAUCUGUCUCCCUCCCCCAAUCAGUGAAACUGAUCUCCCCGUGCAGAAGCGGGGAUAAUAUCAUAAGACGAGAAGACCCUGUGGAGCUUCAAAUCAAUAAUCAACUGCUUCACCCACCCCAAAUAAAGGAUACACUCACGCAAACUUGAUUUAGAUUUUCAGCUGGGGCGUCUAUGGAGAAAAAAAAAUCCUCCAUGAAAAUUCAUGCUAAAAGCUACCGCCAUAGGCAUUAAUAUACUUAACUUUAAUUGACCCAAUUUUUGAUCAACGGACCAAGUUACCCCAGGGAUAACAGCGCAAUCCACUUAAAGAGUCCUUAUCGACAAGUGGGCUUACGACCUCGAUGUUGGAUCAGGGCAUCCAAGUGGUGCAGCCGCUACUAAAGGUUCGUUUGUUCAACGAUUAAAGCCCU
rnacentral:rRNA from 1 species